rnacentral:rRNA from 1 species
CGCCUCUUGCCACCCAUAAGAGGUCCAGCCUGCCCAGUGACAAAUUUCAACGGCCGCGGUAUCCUAACCGUGCGAAGGUAGCAUAAUCACUUGUUCUUUAAAUAGGGACUAGUAUCAAUGGCAUCACGAGGGUUGCACUGUCUCCUUUUUCCAAUCAGUGAAACUGAUCUCCUCGUGAAGAAGCGAGGAUAAAAAUAUAAGACGAGAAGACCCCAUGGAGCUUUAAACCUUAAGCAACUUACUUAUUUAUACCCUUUUAGUUAUAAAGCUAUGCUAACCGGUUUUAGGUUGGGGUGACCGCGGAGUAAAAAUUAACCUCCACAACGAAAAGAACUAAAUCUUUAUCUAAGAGUUACACCUCUAAGAAUUAGAAAACUAACGUUUAAUGACCCGACAAACGAUCAACGGACCAAGUUACCCUGGGGAUAACAGCGCAAUCUACUUCUAGAGCCCAUAUCAACAAGUAGGCUUACGACCUCGAUGUUGGAUCAGGGUAUCCCAGUGGUGCAGCCGCUACUGAUGGUUCGUUUGUUCAACGAUUAAAACCCU